AGGACCCACCUGCUUCAAAGAGAGACUGAGAAGGGUAGGCUCCCAUUUAUGUUACUUUGUAUUACAGUUUGACAGUCUGGAAAGGGAGCACACAUACUUGGCAGAAGGCAAAGGAUCCUUGUGACACCUGCAUUAAUGAAUGUGGAAGCAAUAGAAAUAUGCGUACUCUUGCCCCCUCAUUCUCUGUUGUUCCUCUGAUCUCUGACAUAGGAUUUAUCAUUUAUUAUAAAAUCAGUAACUAUUCAUGAGUGAACAGAUCUGUAUCCAACUCCUUCCCUUAUCUCCUUCUCUUUCUAUCUUCUCCGUCUUUCCAAUAACUCUCACGUUGUUUUUUUUUUGUUUUUCUUGAUCGAAAUACUCACAGAAGGUUGUCAUCUAGAACUGCAAUAAAUGAUUGAAGCAUAAAGAUUCAAUUAAAACUCAGGAGGAGGCAUGACAGGAGAAAAGAAAGGGGCAUUACUGUAAAGUAUUAAGAAGCUUUGCAGUUAGUCACUGAGAUGUUGAACAGUCUUACAAAGGAUGAACGUAUCUCGUUGAGAGCAUCUGUCAGCCAUGGGUAAGUCAGUAGAGAUGGCUGACAUUGAUCUCCAUCUUUGCCAUGGGGUUUCCUGUGUGCUAAAGAGACCCUAGGCUUGACAUAGUGCUGUCGUCUGGGCCUAGACUGGAGAUUCUACAUAAGUUAGACCUUUCUCUUGAUGAAAAUCAUCUAGUGCCUUGCUGUGAAUCAAUGUGUAAACUCUAUCAUGUGCCAUGGUAAACUAAGCACUUCACUGUCAUGGCAUUGCCUACAUUUGCUUUAAUUUUCCUAGAAUGUUGAAGAACCUUCUAGUAAAACACCUCCUGUCUUCACAGACUUAAUAUGCCCAAUCCUGAUUGUGUCUCAGUUAUAUCCUUUCUGAUGGAAAUUUUGAUGAUGUUGCCAUCCACUAAUUCAGCACUAUGUACUUGACACUGUGCCAAUCAACUCAUAUAUAUUAUUCCUCUUACUCUUCUCAUUAGCCCCAUUUGGUAUUUAGAAGCCUACAGAAUUGUGUUAAGUUUGAUUUUUGAAUUUACCUCAAGUCAAGCAUAUUAGAAAAAGGCAGAGUUCAAAAAUCAAAUCUUGUUGAGUUCAAAGCUUAUGUAAUCAAAUAGCUAAGCUGCUGAUUAUUUCUUGAGAGAGAAAGAUUAUUUUAUCCUCUAUUCUAGAACAAAGGGUUUUAUAUAGAUAUUAGCAUAACUUUUAAAAGGUCACAAUGGAAUGAAACUUGACUAAAUUACAAAUACCUAUGACUCCCCCUUCUUAGGUUUCAGAAUUCCAGACCAGUGACUCAGCAAUCUGUCCAGGGACCUCUAAAGUGUUAAAUAUUGCUUAUUCAAAGAAUGAAUCCAUAGUUUGUAUAAGCUUUUCUAGAUUUCUGACACCCACAAAAGUUACAGUCCAUUUGGGACACACACACACACAAAUACCUCUCCCCCCCCCCAACACACACACUUCUAUCAUGUGAUCUCUCAUAAAAGUAUACAAACACAUUAUUCUUUGAUUAAAUGUAGAUUUCCUGAAACCAAAGUUUUAGCCAUAUGUUCCUGAGAAACUUUUCAUAGAGAUGGCAGACUCAGACUAUGAGUCAACAUUUUUUUUAAGGCCCCCUCGAUGUCCUUAAAAGAAGAAAGGGGUAGCUUCUAGGGGGAGUGGAAGAUUUAAUCUUUUUGCUAGUUCAGGUCCCUUGGAGGCAAAAAUGGUGUUAAUAUAGAUCGCAGAAUUGUUUCAUAUCUGCAUAUUAUCAAGGGAACUGAAAACAGGUUCUUACUGCUCUGGCCAGGAGCUGUUUAGUUUGGGUGUGGGUAUGUGAACCUGCAGAGCAGAGCCAGACACUGGAUUCUACCCCCCCCCCCCCCACACACACACACAUACACUGCUUCCUACUCCCUGAAUGAGAUGGCUUCUUAUCCCUCUAUACAGCUGAUAACAGCUGGAUAUUGUCCAGUGCUCCUCUCUUGGUGUUCAAGAGUGACAAACUAGGUUCAUGUCCUCAAUGGCUUUCUAAAAAUAGACUUCUAGAAGGAAAUUAUGCACUGGUGUUUCAGAAAGAGCAUUUUCUCUGUUUUUCAACUGCUACAUUGUUUUUCACUAGACUGUAUAUGGGGUGGGUCUUUAGGGUUUGACAAUCUUAGGGAAAUUAGUAAGCAAAGGAUUAUGAUUCAUGUCAUGGUAGGUGUAGGAGACUAUGUCUAACAGAAGAGACUUCAUUUAGAUUCCUAACAAUUAAAUGAAUCUAUUCUAACUUGAAAUCAAAGUAUUGCAUUCUGAGAACCCAACAUUGAUUUUUAAAGUAGCACAGUGAGGUAUUAACACUUUCCAAACUUAUGAUACUGUUUCUAUCCAUUAGAAUUGGUUACUGGUUACCAUCUUGAUGCAGUAGAAACAUUCUGUCAAGUGACAGAGAAUUCUGAUUUUGUACAACUUAAAGUUUAACAGACCUGCUGGGUGUGGUGGCGCAUGCCUUUCAUCCCAGCACUUGGGAAGCAGAGGAAGGCAGAUUUCUGAGUUCCAGGCCAGCCUGGGAACUACAAAGUGAGUUCCAGGACAGCCAGGGCUACAGAGAAACCCUGUCUGG
rnacentral:lncRNA from 1 species